UACGAAGGGGGCUAGCGUUGUUCGGAAUUACUGGGCGUAAAGCGCACGUAGGCGGCUUUGUAAGUUAGAGGUGAAAGCCCGGGGGCUCAACUCCGGAAUUGCCUUUAAGACUGCAUCGCUAGAACGUCGGAGAGGUAAGUGGAAUUCCGAGUGUAGAGGUGAAAUUCGUAGAUAUUCGGAAGAAACACCAGUGGCGAAGGCGACUUACUGGACGACUGUUGACGCUGAGGUGCGAAAAGCGUGGGGAGCAACAGG
rnacentral:rRNA from 1 species